rfam:Picea glauca, whole genome shotgun sequence.
ACAUGCCUACAACAUAUAAUUAAUGCAAUGGAUCCCAUUAGAACUCCACAGUUAAUAAUGCUCAUGAUAGAUUAGUAUUGGUAUGGGUGACUUCCCGAGAAGUCCUAGUGGUUUACAUGCC